rnacentral:rRNA from 1 species
UACGUAGGGAGCAAGCGUUGUUCAGAUUUACUGGGCGUAAAGGGCGCGUAGGCGGCAUAUUAAGUCAUCUGUGAAAUCUCCGAGCUUAACUCGGAACGGUCAGCCGAUACUGCGGGGCUAGAGUGCAGAAGGGGCAACUGGAAUUCUCGGUGUAGCGGUGAAAUGCGUAGAUAUCGAGAGGAACACCUGCGGCGAAGGCGGGUUGCUGGGCUGACACUGACGCUGAUGCGCGAAAGCUAGGG